rnacentral:rRNA from 1 species
GGCGGCAGGCCUAACACAUGCAAGUCGAGCGCGAAAGCACUUCGGUGUGAGUAGAGCGGCGGACGGGUGAGUAACGCGUAGGAAUCUACCUAGUAGUGGGGGACAACUCGGGGAAACUCGAGCUAAUACCGCAUAAGCCCUACGGGGGAAGGCGGGGGACCUUCGGGCCUCGUGCUAUUAGAUGAGCCUGCGUUGGAUUAGCUAGUUGGUGGGGUAAAGGCCUACCAAGGCGACGAUCCAUAGCUGGUCUGAGAGGAUGAUCAGCCACACCGGGACUGAGACACGGCCCGGACUCCUACGGGAGGCAGCAGUGGGGAAUAUUGCGUAAUGGGCGAAAGCCUGACGCAGCCAUGCCGCGUGUGUGAAGAAGGCCUUCGGGUUGUAAAGCACUUUCAAUUGGGAGGAAAGGUUCACGGUUAAUAACCGUGAGCUGUGACGUUACCUUUAGAAGAAGCACCGGCUAACUCCGUGCCAGCAGCCGCGGUAAUACGGAGGGUGCGAGCGUUAAUCGGAAUUACUGGGCGUAAAGCGCGCGUAGGUGGUCUGUUAAGUCGGAUGUGAAAGCCCCGGGCUCAACCUGGGAACUGCAUUCGAUACUGGCAGACUAAAGUGCGAGAGAGGGAGGUAGAAUUCCAUGUGUAGCGGUGAAAUGCGUAGAUAUGUGGA